ensembl:lncRNA
GUUUUUCAUAAAAUAACAUAACAUGGGAAUUAUAUCAUAAAUAUAUAUAUUUUCCGAAAGUAAAUACACAUGACAUUUCUCACUCAGCGAGAUAAUAACAGCACUAAUACACACAAGCUCUCUCUCUCUCUCUCUCUUUCUUUCUCUGUGUGUCUCUGUCUCUCUCGCUCUCUUUCUAAUAACUUCAUUAAUAACUGCAUUAGAUUGCUAUCAACGGCUCAAGCCUCCAUUACCAGCCUUAAAAUUAUGUUUUGGAACCAGCAAAAGAGGCGUUUGAUGAGAUGCGGAAGAAAUAAUCCUACUCACAAUAGCGAUUUAAGUACAAAAACCGAUGAAUCCCUUUAAAUAUAUUAUCUGAUCGAUGUCUUGAAGUGUGGUAACCAUAGUAUAAGCGGAAUACUUCGCGUCCUGGCCGCAUCACCACCUCGGUUGUGCAUUAUUUUUCUAAUAAUUCAACUGAUAGUUCCGGUCCUUGAUUCUGAUUGGUUGAGCCGCGUUGUAAAUUACUCUACAAACAUACACCUUUGUUUAUUUCUGUGUGUUGCUCGGCAACCACUUUGUUGGAACCACAUUGUUUGGUGAAAGAAUACUGCUUUUAUUUAUAUCAUUACACUUUAUUUAACUCUGUUUUAUUCUGUGAAACCUUACUACUUAUAUGGAGUAACCGUUUUAUAAAAGCAAUAAGCCCCCGUGAAGCAGUGGUUUACAGUGAAUUUAUAAAUCUGUAAACCACGGCUUCUUGGGGGUUAUAGUUAUAUAUCACACAACUACAAAAAAUAUGUAACUUGCAACAUGCAGGAAAUAAUGACAUAAUAAGUGACGAAAAAAGGAGGAGGAGGAACUAAAACCAGACAAGGGUAAUGUUUUCACAUCUGCUCAGUAAGGAAAUACUUGAGGCUGCAACAUGAUGAUGAAUCUCCUUGCAGCCAUAUGGACCCUGACGCCUUUGAUUCUGUUGGGCACUCUUGCUGCUGACUGGACAGUGCGUGUUCCUAUGGAUCCAGUCUAUGCUACUUCUGGUUCUUCUGUAGUUUUGGAGUGCACCUAUGACUACCCAGAAGAGUCUGACCAGGGAAUACUACGCAAAGUGCUGUCAGAGAUGUGGUGUCUGAAUGAAAGCCGCUGCAUUACUCCCAGAUACGUGUACCACAGUGCAGGGAUAUUCCCUGAGCCCUCAUACCAGGGCCGAGUCAAGUACUUGGGGCAGACAGGAAGCAAAAACUGCUCUCUGAUGAUAUCUGAUCUGAGGUCAGAAGACAGCGGCGUGUACGUGUUCCGGUUCAUCACCGACCACCUGAAAGCCAAGCUACCAGGACAGAGAGGAGUGAAUCUACAGGUCACACAUCAGAUAAAAUGGGAGAGAGGUCAAUAUCACUUUAAACCAGCUAUUACCACGGAGGAUGAAAAAAAUUACUUUUGA